rnacentral:tRNA from 1 species
GUGGCUGUAGCUCAGUUGGUAGAGUAGCAGACUGUGACUCUGUUCGUCGCGGGUUCGAACCCCGUCAGCCACCCCA